CACGCCGUAAACGAUGGAUACUAGGUGUAGGAGGUAUCGACCCCUUCUGUGCCGCAGUUAACACAAUAAGUAUCCCACCUGGGGAGUACGGCCGCAAGGUUGAAACUCAAAGGAAUUGACGGGGGCCCGCACAAGCAGUGGAGUAUGUGGUUUAAUUCGAAGCAACGCGAAGAACCUUACCAGGGCUUGACAUCCCUCUGACCGCUCUAGAGAUAGGGCUUCCCUUCGGGGCAGAGGAGACAGGUGG
rnacentral:rRNA from 1 species